AUUGAACGCUGGCGGCAGGCCUAACACAUGCAAGUCGAACGAGUGGCGGACGGGUGAGUAAUGUCUGGGAAACUGCCUGAUGGAGGGGGAUAACUACUGGAAACGGUAGCUAAUACCGCAUACCAUCAGCUGAGCCCAGAUGGGAUUAGCUGGUAGGUGGGGUAACGGCUCACCUAGGCGACGAUCCCUAGCUGGUCUGAGAGGAUGACCAUCCAGACUGGGACUGAGACACGGUCCAGACUCCUACGGGAGGCAGCAGUGGGGAAUAUUGCACAAUGGGCGCAAGCCUGAUGCAGCCAUGCCGCGUGUAUGAAGAAGGCCUUCGGGUUGUAAAGUACUUUCAGCGGGGAGGCGUUACCCGCAGAAGAAGCACCGGCUAACUCCGUGCCAGCAGCCGCGGUAAUUC
rnacentral:rRNA from 1 species